rnacentral:rRNA from 1 species
UACGUAGGUGGCAAGCGUUGUCCGGAUUUACUGGGCGUAAAGGGCGUGCAGGCGGUUUGUUAAGUGCAGGGUGAAAGCUCCCGGCUCAACUGGGAGAGGUCCUUGCAUACUGGCGAACUUGAGGGAGGCAGAGGAAAGUGGAAUUCCCGGUGUAGUGGUGAUAUGCGUAGAUAUCGGGAGGAACACCGGUGGCGAAGGCGGUUCUCUGGGCCUGUACUGACGCUGAGGAACGAAAGCGUGGGGAGCGAACAGG